UACAGAGGGUGCGAGCGUUAAUCGGAAUUACUGGGCGUAAAGCGUGCGUAGACGGCUAUCUAAGUCGGUUGUGAAAUCCCCGGGCUUAACCUGGGAACUGCAUUUGUGACUGCAUAGCUAGAGUACGGUAGAGGGGGAUGGAAUUCCGCGUGUAGCAGUGAAAUGCGUAGAUAUGCGGAGGAACACCGAUGGCGAAGGCAAUCCCCUGGACCUGUACUGACGCUCAUGCACGAAAGCGUGGGGAGCAAACAGG
rnacentral:rRNA from 1 species